UCAACUCACACCAACCAGCGCCAGGGAAUUACGAGUAAAACUUAAAACCCAAAGGACUUGACGGUGUCCUACCCCCUACUAGAGGAGCCUGUUCUAUAAUCGAUAAUCCACGUUAUACCCAACCAUCCCUUGCUUAUCAGCCUGUAUACCUCCGUCGCAAGCUUACCAUAUGAACGCAUAACAGUAGGCCCAAGGACUUAGCGCCACAACGUCAGGUCAAGGUGCAGCUUAUGAGAUGGAAAGUAAUGGGCUACAAUUUCUAAAUUAGAACAAACGAAAAACUACAUGAAACAUAGACAUGAAGGUGGAUUUAGUAGUAAAUAAGGAAUAGAGAGCCUUAUUAAACUUGGCCCUGGGACGUGUACACACCGCCCGUCACCCUCUUCAAUAGCCUUUAACAGCUUAAUAACCUAACCCUGCAAAUCAGAAGAGGCAAGUCGUAACACGGUAAGUGUACUGGAAAGUGCACUUGGCACAA
rnacentral:rRNA from 1 species